AUUGAACGCUGGCGGCAUGCUUUACACAUGCAAGUCGAACGGCAGCGCGGGCUUCGGCCUGGCGGCGAGUGGCGAACGGGUGAGUAAUACAUCGGAACGUGCCCAGCAGUUGGGGAUAGCUCGGCGAAAGCCGGAUUAAUACCGCAUACGACCUGAGGGUGAAAGCGGGGGAUGUUCGGACCUCGCGCUAUUUGAUCGGCCGAUGGCAGAUUAGCUAGUUGGUGGGGUAAAGGCCUACCAAGGCGACGAUCUGUAGCUGGUCUGAGAGGACGACCAGCCACACUGGGACUGAGACACGGCCCAGACUCCUACGGGAGGCAGCAGUGGGGAAUUUUGGACAAUGGGCGAAAGCCUGAUCCAGCAAUGCCGCGUGUGUGAUGAAGGCCUUCGGGUUGUAAAGCACUUUUGGCGGGAACGAAAAGGACUGUGCCAAUACCACGGUUCGAUGACGGUACCCGCAGAAUAAGCACCGGCUAACUACGUG
rnacentral:rRNA from 1 species